rnacentral:lncRNA from 1 species
CCUCUCACACCUACGGACCGGGGCGUCCAUGCCCCUCCUUUUCACGUGUCCGAACCAUCUCAAUCGGGCUUCCCGUAUCUUGCACUCCACUGGAGUCACACCAACCUUCUCCCGGAUAGUCUCAUUCCAAACUCUAUCCCCUCUAGUCAGCCCACACAUCCAGCGCAACAUCCGCAUUUCUGCCACCUUCAUUUUUUGGAUGUGGGAGUUCUUAACUGGCCAACACUCCGCUUCAUACAACA